ACGGAAGGCAGCAGUGGGGAAUAUUGGGCAAUGGGGGAAACCCUGACCCAGCAACGCCGCGUGAAGGAAGAAGGCCUUCGGGUUGUAAACUUCUUUUACCAGGGACGAAGAAUGACGGUACCUGGAGAAAAAGCAACGGCUAACUACGUGCCAGCAGCCGCGGUAAUACGUAGGUUGCAAGCGUUGUCCGGAUUUACUGGGUGUAAAGGGCGUGUAGGCGGAGCUGCAAGUCAGAUGUGAAAUCCCGGAGCUCAACCCCGGAACUGCAUUUGAAACUGUAGCCCUUGAGUAUCGGAGAGGCAAGCGGAAUUCCUAGUGUAGCGGUGAAAUGCGUAGAUAUUAGGAGGAACACCAGUGGCGAAGGCGGCUUGCUGGACGACAACUGACGCUGAGGCGCGAAAGCGUGGGGAGCAAACAGGAUUAGAUACCCUGGUA
rnacentral:rRNA from 1 species